GACGAACGCUGGCGGCGUGCUUAACACAUGCAAGUCGAACGGAAAGGCCCUGCUUUUGUUGGGUACUCGAGUGGCGAACGGGUGAGUAACACGUGAGUAACCUGCCCUUGACUUUGGGAUAAGUUCAGGAAACUGGGGCUAAUACCGGAUAGGAGCUCCUGUUGUAUGGUGGGGGUUGGAGAGUUUUGGCGGUUGGGGUUGGUCUCGCGGCUUAUCAGCUUGUUGGUGGGGAAGUGGCUUCCCAAGGCUUUGGCGGGUAGCCGGCUGGAGAGGGUGACCGGCCACAUGGGGACGGAGUGAGGCCCCAGACUCCAACGGAGGGCAGAGGGGGGGAGUUUUGCACAAGGGGCGGAGGCCUGAGGCAGGAACGCCGGGUGCGGGAAGACGGCCUCCGGGUGGAAAAUCGCUUUCGCCGGGGACGAAGGGUGAGUGACGGUACCGGGAGAAGAAGCACCGGCUAACUACGUG
rnacentral:rRNA from 1 species